rnacentral:rRNA from 1 species
UACGAAGGGGGCUAGCGUUGCUCGGAAUCACUGGGCGUAAAGGGUGCGUAGGCGGGUCUUUAAGUCAGGGGUGAAAUCCUGGAGCUCAACUCCAGAACUGCCUUUGAUACUGAGGGUCUUGAGUUCGGGAGAGGUGAGUGGAACUGCGAGUGUAGAGGUGAAAUUCGUAGAUAUUCGCAAGAACACCAGUGGCGAAGGCGGCUCACUGGCCCGAUACUGACGCUGAGGUGCGAAAGCGUGGGGAGCAACAGG